rnacentral:rRNA from 1 species
UACGGAGGGAGCUAGCGUUGUUCGGAAUUACUGGGCGUAAAGCGCACGUAGGCGGCGAUUCAAGUCAGAGGUGAAAGCCCGGGGCUCAACCCCGGAACUGCCUUUGAAACUAGAUUGCUAGAAUCCGGGAGAGGCGAGUGGAAUUCCGAGUGUAGAGGUGAAAUUCGUAGAUAUUCGGAAGAACACCAGUGGCGAAGGCGACUCGCUGGACAGGUAUUGACGCUGAGGUGCGAAAGCGUGGGGAGCAAACAGG